GACAGAGGGUGCAAACGUUUGUUCGGAAUCACUGGGCGUAAAGGGCUCGUAGGCGGCCAACUAAGUCGGGACGUGAAAUCCCUCGGCUUAACCGGGGAACUGCGUCCGAUACUGGAUGGCUUGAGUUCGGGAGAGGGAUGCGGAAUUCCAGGUGUAGCGGUGAAAUGCGUAGAGAUCCGGAAGAACACCGGUGGCGAAGGCGGCCUGCUGGGCAGUAGCUGACACUGAGGCGCGACAGCGUGGGGAGCAAACAGG
rnacentral:rRNA from 1 species